rnacentral:misc_RNA from 1 species
UACAUUUUCUAGAUUCAAUUGAAAGAAAUGUACUGAUAGUGAUUACAUGUUGUAAGAAGUGUAAUGGUAUUUUACAUUUGGAAAAUAUCACAUGUAAGAAAUGUAUUAUGGGAUAUCAGAUGUAAUAUGAGAAAAUCUUCAGUCCUGUUGUGAAGACGGUACGUAUGAUUCUAUCUCUUGCUACUCAAUUUGGGAGGAAUUUGCAACAACUUG